GACGAACGCUGGCGGCGUGCCUAAUACAUGCAAGUCGAACGCAGUGGGGACGGGCGAGUAACAUGUGGGUAACCUCCCAUCAGAGGGGAUAACAUUUCGAAACAGGUGCUAAACCGAUACUGAUGGAUGGACCCGCGGUGCAUUAGCUAGUUGGUGAGGUAACGGCCCACCAAGGCCACGAUGCAUAGCCGACCUGUGAGGGUGAUCGGCCACACUGGUACUGAGACACGGCCCAGACUCCUACGGGAGGCAGCAGUAGGGAAUCUUCGGCAAUGGACGAAAGUCUGACCGAGCAAGGCCGCGUGAGUGAAGAAGGUUUUCGGAUCGUAAACCACUGUUGUUAGAGAGGCGGUAUCUAACCAGAAAGCCACGGCUAACUACGUGCCAGCAGCCGCGGUAAUUC
rnacentral:rRNA from 1 species